rnacentral:rRNA from 1 species
GUGCCAGCAGCCGCGGUAAUACGGAGGGUGCAAGCGUUAUCCGGACUCACUGGGUUUAAAGGGUGCGUAGGCGGGUUUUUAAGUCAGCGGUGAAAGCUCCGAGCUUAACUCGGAAAUUGCCGUUGAUACUAUUAAUCUUGAAUUUAGUUGAGGUGGGCGGAAUGUGUAGUGUAGCGGUGAAAUGCUUAGAUAUGACAUAGAACACCAAUUGCGAAGGCAGCUGGCUACACGAAUAUUGACACUGAUGCACGAAAGCGUGGGGAUCAAACAGGAUUAGAUACCCCAGUAGUCC